rnacentral:rRNA from 1 species
CUCAGUAACACGUGGAUAACCUGCCCUUAGGUUUGGCAUAACUCCGGGAAACUGGAGAUAAUUCCGAAUAAACCAUUGAUGCUGGAAUGCUUUUUGGUUCAAAGACUUCGGUUGCCUAAGGAUGGAUCUGCGGUCUAUCAGGUAGUAGUGGGUGUAAGGUACCUACUAGCCUACGACGGAUAUGGGUUGUGAGAGCAAGAGCCCAGAGAUGGAUUCUGAGACAUGAAUCCAGGCCCUACGGGGCGCAGCAGGCGCGAAAACUUUACAAUGCGGGAAACCGCGAUAAGGGGACACCGAGUGCCAGCAUAUUAUGUUGGCUGUCCACAUGUGUAAACGGCAUGUGUUAGCAAGGGCCGGGCAAGACCGGUGCCAGCCGCCGCGGUAACACCGGCGGCCCGAGUGGUAAUCACUUUUAUUGGGUCUAAAGGGUCCGUAGCCGGUUUGAUCAGUUCUUCGGGAAAUCUGACAGCUCAACUGUUAGGCUUCCGGGGAAUACUGUCAGACUUGGGACCGGGAGAGGUAAGAGGUACUACAGGGGUAGGAGUGAAAUCUUGUAAUCCCUGUGGGACCACCAGUGGCGAAGGCGUCUUACCAGAACGGGUCCGACGGUGAGGGACGAAAGCUGGGGGCACGAACCGGAUUAGAUACCCGGGUAGUCCCAGCCGUAAACGAUGUUCGCUAGGUGUCAGGGACGGUGCGACCGUUUCUGGUGCCGUAGGGAAGCCGUGAAGCGAACCACCUGGGAAGUACGGCCGCAAGGCUGAAACUAAAG